AAAUGGGCCAAAAAACGGGUGGGCUAUAGCCUUGGUGGGGGGGCGUGGGCGAAGUUCGUCCGCCGGACUCGGAAUGGCCCCAGGACUUUGCGGGUGGCCCUCGUGUGCCAAAAAUAGGCCACGGGCACAGCCGCGCCCAAAAAUUAGCCCCCGAAGGUGGAGGUGCCAAGACCCCCCAGCGGAAAAAUGGCCAAAAAACGGGUGGGCUAUAGCCUUGGUGGGGGGCGUGGGCGAAGUUCGUCCGCCGGACUCGGAAUGGCCCCAGACUUUGCGGGCGGCCUCCGUGUGCCAAAAAUAGGCCACGGGCACAGCCGCGCCCAAAAAUUAGCCCCCGAAGGUCGGGGCGCCAAGACCCCCCAGCGGAAAAAUGGCCAAAAAACGGGUGGGCUAUAGCCUUGGUGGGGGGCGCGGGCGAAGUUCGUCCGCCGGACUCGGAAUGGCCCCAGACUUUGCGGGCGGCAUCCGUGUGCCAAAAAUAGACCACGGGCACAGCCGCGCCCAAAAAUUAGCCCCCGAAGGUCGGGCUGCCAAGACCCCCCAGCGGAAAAAUGGCCAAAAAACGGGUGGGCUAUAGCCUUGGCGGGGGCGUGGGCGAAGUUCGUCCGCCGGACUCGGAAUGGCCCCAGACUUUGCGGGCGGCCUCCGUGUGCCAAAAAUAGGCCACGGGCACAGCCGCGCCCAAAAAUUAGCCCCCGAAGGUCGGGGCGCCAAGACCCCCCAGCGGAAAAAUGGCCAAAAAACGGGUGGGCUAUAUCCUUGGUGGGGGGCGUGGGCGAAGUUCGUCUGCCGGACUCGGAAUGGCCCCAGACUUUGCGGGCGGCCUCCGUGUGCCAAAAAUAGGCCACGGGCACAGCCGCGCCCAAAAAUUAGCCCCCGAAAGUCAGGGCGCCAAGACUCCCCAGCGGAAAAAUGGCCGAAAAAUGGCCAAAAAAUGGGUGGGCUAUAGCCUUGGUGGGGGGCGUGGGCGAAGUUCGUCCGCCGGACUCGGAAUGGCCCCAGACUUUGCGGGCGGCCUCCGUGUGCCAAAAAUAGGCCACGGGCACAGCCGCGCCCAAAAAGUACCCCCCGAAGGUCGGGGCGCCAAGACCCCCCAGCGGAAAAAUGGCCAAAAAACGGGUGGGCUAUAUCCUUGGUGGGGGGCGUGGGCGAAGUUCGUCUGCCGGACUCGGAAUGGCCCCAGACUUUGCGGGCGGCCUCCGUGUGCCAAAAAUAUGCCACGGGCACAGCCGCGCCCAAAAAUUAGCCCCCGAAAGUCGGGGCGCCAAGACUCCCCAGCGGAAAAAUGGCCGAAAAAUGGCCAAAAAAUGGGUGGGCUAUAGCCUUGGUGGGGGGCGUGGGCGAAGUUCGUCCGCCGGACUCGGAAUGGCCCCAGACUUUGCGGGCGGCCUCCGUGUGCCAAAAAUAGGCCACGGGCACAGCCGCGCCCAAAAAUUAGCCCCCGAAGGUCGGGGCGCCAAGACCCCCCAGCGGAAAAAUGGCCAAAAAACGGGUGGGCUAUAGACUUGGUGGGGGGCGCGGGCGAAGUUCGUCCGCCGGACUCGGAAUGGCCCCAGACUUUGCGGGCGGCCUCCGUGUGCCAAAAAUAGACCACGGGCACAGCCGCGCCCAAAAAUUAGCCCCCGAAGGUCGGGGCGCCAAGACCCCCCAGCGUAAAAAUGGCCAAAAAACGGGUGGGCUAUAGCCUUGGUGGGGGGCGUGGGCGAAGUUCGUCCGCCGGACUCGGAAUGGCCCCAGACUUUGCGGGCGGCCUCCGUGUGCUAAAAUUAGGACACGGACACAGCCGCGCCCAAAAAUUAGCCUCCGAAGGUCGGGGCGCCAAGACCCCCCAGCGGAAAAAUGGCCAAAAAAAGGGUGGGCUGUAUCCUUGGUGGGGGGCGUGUGCGAAGUUCGUCCGCCGGACUCGGAAUGGCCCCAGACUUUGCGGGUGGCCCUCGUGUGCCAAAAAUAGGCCACGGGCACAGCCGCGCCCAAAAAUUAGCCCCCGAAGGUGGAGGUGCCAAGACCCCCCAGCGGAAAAAUGGCCAAAAAACGGGUGGGCUAUAGCCUUGGUGGGGGGCGUGGGCGAAGUUCGUCCGCCGGACUCGGAAUGGCCCCAGACUUUGCGGGUGGCCCUCGUGUGCCAAAAAUAGGCCACGGGCACAGCCGCGCCCAAAAAUUAGCCCCCGAAGGUGGAGGUGCCAAGACCCCCCAGCGGAAAAAUGGCCAAAAAACGGGUGGGCUAUAGCCUUGGUGGGGGGCGCGGGCGAAGUUCGUCCGCCGGACUCGGAAUGGCCCCAGACUUUGCGGGCGGCAUCCGUGUGCCAAAAAUAGACCACGGGCACAGCCGCGCCCAAAAAUUAGCCCCCGAAGGUCGGGCUGCCAAGACCCCCCAGCGGAAAAAUGGCCAAAAAACGGGUGGGCUAUAGCCUUGGCGGGGGCGUGGGCGAAGUUCGUCCGCCGGACUCGGAAUGGCCCCAGACUUUGCGGGCGGCCUCCGUGUGCCAAAAAUAGGCCACGGGCACAGCCGCGCCCAAAAAGUACCCCCCGAAGGUCGGGGCGCCAAGACCCCCCAGCGGAAAAAUGGCCAAAAAACGGGUGGGCUAUAUCCUUGGUGGGGGGCGUGGGCGAAGUUCGUCUGCCGGACUUGCGAUGGCCCCAGACUUUGCGGGCGGCCUCCGUGUGCCAAAAAUAUGCCACGGGCACAGCCGCGCCCAAAAAUUAGCCCCCGAAAGUCGGGGCGCCAAGACUCCCCAGCGGAAAAAUGGCCGAAAAAUGGCCAAAAAAUGGGUGGGCUAUAGCCUUGGUGGGGGGCGUGGGCGAAGUUCGUCCGCCGGACUCGGAAUGGCCCCAGACUUUGCGGGCGGCAUCCGUGUGCCAAAAAUAGACCACGGGCACAGCCGCACCCAAAAAUUAGCCCCCGAAGGUCGGGCUGCCAAGACCCCCCAGCGGAAAAAUGGCCAAAAAACGGGUGGGCUAUAGCCUUGGCGGGUGCGUGGGCGAAGUUCGUCCGCCGGACUCGGAAUGGCCCCAGACUUUGCGGGCGGCCUCCGUGUGCCAAAAAUAGGCCACGGGCACAGCCGCGCCCAAAAAUUAGCCCCCGAAGGUCGGGGCGCCAAGACCCCCCAGCGGAAAAAUGGCCAAAAAACGGGUGGGCUAUAUCCUUGGUGGGGGGCGUGGGCGAAGUUCGUCUGCCGGACUCGGAAUGGCCCCAGACUUUGCGGGCGGCCUCCGUGUGCCAAAAAUAGGCCACGGGCACAGCCGCGCCCAAAAAUUAGCCCCCGAAAGUCAGGGCGCCAAGACUCCCCAGCGGAAAAAUGGCCGAAAAAUGGCCAAAAAAUGGGUGGGCUAUAGCCUUGGUGGGGGGCGUGGGCGAAGUUCGUCCGCCGGACUCGGAAUGGCCCCAGACUUUGCGGGCGGCCUCCGUGUGCCAAAAAUAGACCACGGGCACAGCUGUGCCCAAAAAUUAGCCCCCGAAGGUCGGCUGCCAAGACCCCCCAGCGGAAAAAUGGCCAAAAAACGGGUGGGCUAUAGCCUUGGUGGGGGGCGUGGGCGAAGUUCGUCCGCCGGACUCGGAAUGGCCCCAGACUUUGCGGGUGGCCCUCGUGUGCCAAAAAUAGGCCACGGGCACAGCCGCGCCCAAAAAUUAGCCCCCGAAGGUGGAGGUGCCAAGACCCCCCAGUGGAAAAAUGGCCAAAAAACGGGUGGGCUAUAGCCUUGGUGGGGGGCGUGGGCGAAGUUCGUGCGCCGGACUCGGAAUGGCCCCAGACUUUGCGGGCGGCCUCCGUGUGCCAAAAAUAGGCCACGGGCACAGCCGCGCCCAAAAAUUAGCCCCGAAGGUCGGGGCGCCAAGACCCCCCAGCGGAAAAAUGGACAAAAAACGGGUGGGCUAUAGCCUUGGUGGGGGGCGCGGGCGAAGUUCGUCCGCCGGACUCCGAAUGGCCCCAGACUUUGCGGGCGGCCUCCGUGUGCCAAAAAUAGACCACGGGCACAGCCGCGCCCAAAAAUUAGCCCCCGAAGGUCGGGGCGCCAAGACCCCCCAGCGUAAAAAUGGCCAAAAAACGGGUGGGCUAUAGCCUUGGUGGGGGGCGUGGGCGAAGUUCCUCCGCCGGACUCGAAAUGGCCCCAGACUUUGCGGGCGGCCUCCGUGUGCCAAAAAUAGGCCACGGGCACAGCCGCGCCCAAAUAUUAGCCCCCGAAGGUCGGGCUGCCAAGACCCCCCAGCGGAAAAAUGGCCAAAAAACGGGUGGGCUAUAGCCUUGGUGGGGGGCGUGGGCGAAGUUCGUCCGCCGGACUCGGAAUGGCCCCAGACUUUGCGGGUGGCCCUCGUGUGCCAAAAAUAGGCCACGGGCACAGCCGCGCCCAAAAAUUAGCCCCCGAAGGUGGAGGUGCCAAGACCCCCAGCGAAAAAAUGGCCAAAAACGGGUGGGCUAUAGCCAUGGUGGGGGGCGUGGCGAAGUUCGUCGCCGGGACUCGGAAUGGCCCCAGACUUUGCGGGCGGCCCUCGUGUGCCAAAAAUAGGCCGCGGGCACAGCCGCGCCCAAAAAUUAGCCCCCGAAGGUCGGGGCGCCAAGACCCCCCAGCGGAAAAAUGGCCAAAAAACGGGUGGGCUAUAGCCUUGGCGGGGGCGUGGGCGAAGUUCGUCCGCCGGACUCGGAAUGGCCCCAGACUUUGCGGGCGGCCUCCGUGUGCCAAAAAUAGGCCGCGGGCACAGUCGCGCCCAAAAAUUUAGCCCCCGAAGGUCGGGGCGCCAAGACCCCCCAGCGGAAAAAUGGCCAAAAAACGAGUGGGCUAUAGCCUUGGUGGGGGGCGUGGGCGAAGUUCGUCCGCCGGACUCGGAAUGGCCCCAGACUUUGCGGGUGGCCCUCGUGUGCUAAAAAUAGGCCACGGGCACAGCCGCGCCCAAAAAUUAGCCCCCGAAGGUGGAAGUGCCAAGACCCCCAGCGGAAAAAUGGCCAAAAAACGGGUGGGCUAUAGCCUUGGUGGGGGGCGUGGGCGAAGUUCGUCCGCCGGACUCCGAAUGGCCCCAGACUUUGCGGGCGGCCUCCGUGUGCCAAAAAUAGGCCACGGGCACAGCUGCGCCCAAAAAUUAACCCCCGAAGGUCGGGGCGCCAAGACCCCCCAGCGGAAAAAUGGCCAAAAAACGGGUGGGCUAUAGCCUUGGUGGGGGGCGUGGGCGAAGUUCGUCCGCCGGACUCGGAACGGCCCCAGACUUUGCGGGCGGCCUCCGUGUGCCAAAAAUAGGCCACGGGCACAGCCGUGCCCAAAAAUUAGCCCCCGAAGGUCGGGCUGCCAAGACCCCCCAGAGGAAAAAUGGCCAAAAAACGGGUGGGCUAUAGCCUUGGCGGGGGGCGUGGGCGAAGUUCGUCCGCCGGACUCGGAAUGGCCCCAGACUUUGCGGGCGGCCUCCGUGUGCCAAAAAUAGGCCACGGGCACAGCCGCGCCCAAAAAUUAGCCCCCGAAGGUGGAGGUGCCAAGACCCCCCAGUGGAAAAAUGGCCAAAAAACGGGUGGGCUAUAGCCUUGGUGGGGGGCGUGGGCGAAGUUCGUGCGCCGGACUCGGAAUGGCCCCAGACUUUGCGGGCGGCCUCCGUGUGCCAAAAAUAAGCCACGGGCACAGCCGCGCCCAAAAAUUAGCCCCCGAAGGUCGGGGCGCCAAGACCCCCCAGCGGAAAAAUGGCCAAAAAACGGGUGGGCUAUAGCCUUGGUGGGGGGCGCGGGCGAAGUUCGUCCGCCGGACUCGGAAUGGCCCCAGACUUUGCGGGCGGCCUCCGUGUGCCAAAAAUAGGCCACGGGCACAGCUGUGCCCAAAAAUUAGCCCCCGAAGGUCGGCUGCCAAGACCCCCCAGCGGAAAAAUGGCCAAAAAACGGGUGGGCUAUAGCCUUGGCGGGGGCGUGGGCGAAGUUCGUCCGCCGGACUCGGAAUGGCCCCAGACUUUGCGGG
rnacentral:lncRNA from 1 species